AUACGUAGGUGGCAAGCGUUGUCCGGAUUUAUUGGGCGUAAAGCGAGCGCAGGCGGUUUCUUAAGUCUGAUGUGAAAGCCCCCGGCUCAACCGGGGAGGGUCAUUGGAAACUGGGAGACUUGAGUGCAGAAGAGGAGAGUGGAAUUCCAUGUGUAGCGGUGAAAUGCGUAGAUAUAUGGAGGAACACCAGUGGCGAAGGCGACUCUCUGGUCUGUAACUGACGCUGAGACUCGAAAGCGUGGGGAGCAAACAGGAUUAGAUACCCUGGUAGUCCACGCCGUAAACGAUGAGUGCUAAGUGUUGGAGGGUUUCCGCCCUUCAGUGCUGCAGCUAACGCAUUAAGCACUCCGCCUGGGGAGUACGACCGCAAGGUUGAAACUCAAAGGAAUUGACGGGG
rnacentral:rRNA from 1 species